AUCCACUACUCCCUCUGUUCCAUAAAGAUUGGCGCGGUUUUGAACUAGCCCUAGUUCAAAUUUGUGCCAACCUUUAUGGAACGGAGGGAGUAUAUAUA